rnacentral:rRNA from 1 species
CCUACGGGCGGCAGCAGUGAGGAAUAUUGGUCAAUGGCCGGAAGGCUGAACCAGCCAUGCCGCGUGAAGGUCAGUGCCCUAUGGGCGUUAAACUUCUUUUGUGCGGGAGCAAUAAUGGUCACGUGUGGCCAGACGAGAGUACCGUACGAAUAAGCAUCGGCUAACUCCGUGCCAGCAGCCGCGGUAAUACGGGGGAUGCAAGCGUUAUCCGGAUUAAUUGGGUUUAAAGGGUGCGUAGGCUGUGAGGUAAGUCAGCGGUGAAAUGCCCCCGCUCAACGGGGUGAAGUGCCAUUGAUACUGCCUUGCUAGAAUGCGGAUGCCGUGGGAGGAAUGUGUGGUGUAGCGGUAAAAUGCAUAGAUAUCACACAGAACACCGAUUGCGAAGGCAUCUCACGAAUCCGCGAUUGACGCUGAUGCACGAAAGCGUGGGUAUCAAACAGGAUUAGAUACCCCAGUAGUC